CAGCCCCGCGGUAAUACAGAGGGUGCGAGCGUUAAUCGGAUUUACUGGGCGUAAAGCGUGCGUAGGCGGCUUCUUAAGUCGGAUGUGAAAUCCCUGAGCUUAACUUAGGAAUUGCAUUCGAUACUGGGAAGCUAGAGUAUGGGAGAGGAUGGUAGAAUUCCAGGUGUAGCGGUGAAAUGCGUAGAGAUCUGGAGGAAUACCGAUGGCGAAGGCAGCCAUCUGGCCUAAUACUGACGCUGAGGUACGAAAGCAUGGGGAGCAAACAGGAUUAGAUACCCCGGUAGUCCCUGUCCUUAUACAC
rnacentral:rRNA from 1 species